UAGGGAAUAUUAGUAAUGGGCGAAAGCCUGAACUAGCAACGCCGCGUGUGCGAAGAAGGCCUUCGGGUUGUAAAGCACUUUUUGAGAGGAUGAGGAAGGACGGUACUCUCAGAAUAAGUCUCGGCUAACUACGUGCCAGCAGCCGCGGUAACACGUAGGAGGCGAACGUUAUCCGGAUUUACUGGGCGUAAAGCGCGUGUAGGUGGUUUGGUAAGUAGGGCGUGAAAGCUCCUGGCUCAACUGGGAGAGGCCGUUCUAAACUGCCGAACUAGAGGAUGGUAGAGGGAGGUGGAAUUCCGGGUGUAGCGGUGGAAUGCGCAGAUAUCCGGAGGAACACCAGUUGCGGAAGCGGCCUCCUGGACCAUUCCUGACACUCAGACGCGAAAGCUAGGGUAGCAAAC
rnacentral:rRNA from 1 species